rnacentral:rRNA from 1 species
GACGAACGCUGGCGGCGUGCCUAAUACAUGCAAGUCGAGCGAAUUUACGAGAGCUUGCUCUCGUAAAUUAGCGGCGGACGGGUGAGUAACACGUGGGCAACCUGCCUAUAAGACUGGGAUAACUUCGGGAAACCGGAGCUAAUACCGGAUAAUUCACAUCUACUCAUGUAGAUGUGCUGAAAGACGGUUUACGCUGUCACUUAUAGAUGGGCCCGCGGCGCAUUAGCUAGUUGGUGAGGUAACGGCUCACCAAGGCCACGAUGCGUAGCCGACCUGAGAGGGUGAUCGGCCACACUGGGACUGAGACACGGCCCAGACUCCUACGGGAGCAGCAGUA